AGAGUUUGAUCCUGGCUCAGAUUGAACGCUGGCGGCAGGCCUAACACAUGCAAGUCGAACGGUAACAGGAAGCAGCUUGCUGCUUCGCUGACGAGUGGCGGACGGGUGAGUAAUGUCUGGGAAACUGCCCGAUGGAGGGGGAUAACUACUGGAAACGGUAGCUAAUACCGCAUAACGUCGCAAGACCAAAGAGGGGGACCUUCGGGCCUCUUGCCAUCGGAUGUGCCCAGAUGGGAUUAGCUAGUUGGUGAGGUAACGGCUCACCAAGGCGACGAUCCCUAGCUGGUCUGAGAGGAUGACCAGCCACACUGGAACUGAGAUACGGUCCAGACUCCUACGGGAGGCAGCAGUGGGGAAUAUUGCACAAUGGGCGCAAGCCUGAUGCAGCCAUGCCGCGUGUAUGAAGAAGGCCUUCGGGUUGUAAAGUACUUUCAGCGGGGAGGAAGGGGAUGUGGUUAAUAACCGCAUUCAUUGACGUUACCCGCAGAAGAAGCACCGGCUAACUCCGUGCCAGCAGCCGCGGUAAUA
rnacentral:rRNA from 1 species